CGCAGCCGCGGUAAUUCCAGCUCCAAUAGCGUAUAUUAAAGUUGUUGCAGUUAAAAAGCUCGUAGUUGAAUUUCGGGAUCAGACUGUCGGUCGUGCCUCGGUACGCACUGGCAUUAUUGGUUCCUACCUUCUGAAGAACCGCGAUGUCAUUAAUUUGGUGUCGUGGGGAAUCAGGACUGUUACUUUGAAAAAUUAGAGUGUUUAAAGCAGGCGCACGCUUGAAUACAUUAGCAUGGAAUAAUGAAAUAGGACGUUUGAUUCUAUUUUGUUGGUUUCUAGGAUCGACGUAAUGAUUAAUAGGGAUAGUUGGGGGCAUUAGUAUUCAAUUGUCAGAGGUGAAAUUCUUGGAUUUAUUGAAGACUAACUACUGCGAAAGCAUUUGCCAAGGAUGUUUUCAUUAAUCAAGAACGAAAGUUGGGGGAUCGAAGACGAUCAGAUACCGUCGUAGUC
rnacentral:rRNA from 1 species